CCCAAGGGAGGAGCAGAGCCUGAGAACAACGAUCAUAUUAUUUUGAAGGUAGUGGGGCCGGAUGGUUCUGUGGUGCAAUUUAAGAUCCAAGAAGCUUGAACCACUUAGUAAAGCAAUGAAAGCCCAUUGUGAACGACAAGGUUAGUGAACUCCGCAGCUCAGAUUCCUGUUUGAUGGACAGCCAAUCAAUGGAACAGACACGCCCACUCAGUUGAAGCGGAGGAUGAAGAUACAAGUGAAGUGUUCCUGCAGCGGAUAGGGGC
rnacentral:lncRNA from 1 species